GAGGGCCGGCGGGCACUCAGGGCUCAGACCCAGCUGCCUGCGAGCCCGGACCAGCUGCCAUCCCUGACGGCUUUGCUUUUCUCCUAGAUCAGUUUCAGUCACACUUAGGACUCACGAAAUAUGUUCUUUUUGGGGGUCAUUUUCUUUUCUUUCUUUCUUUCUUUCUUGUUUGUUUGUUUUGAGACAGGGUCUUGCUCUGUCACCCAGGUGCCCAGGCUGGAGUGUAGGGGCAAGAUCUUGGCUCACUACAGCCUCCUCCCACUGGACUCCAGCGAUCCCCUCAACUCAGCCUCCCCAGUAGUGGCCCUACAGGCAGAGUCUUGCUCUGUCACCCAGGCUGGAGCGAGAUCUCAGCUCACUGCAACCCCCGUCUCCCAGGCUCAAGCAGUCCUCCCACCUCGGCCUCCUGAGGAGCUGGGACCACCACAGCUGGCACCUGGCCACAUUCAUCAUGGACAAGAGCGAAGCCAUCUCGUCUGUGGACGACGCCAUACGGAAGCUGGUGCAGCUGAGCUCCAAGGAGAAGAUCUGGACACAGGAGAUGCUACUGCGGGUGGACAGCGAGUCCCUGAGGCUGCUGGACAUCGAGUCUCAGGUGGGGCCCCGUGCUCAGGGCGGGGAGCAUGGUGGGUGGAGGCAGCGGGGGGCGGGGGUGGAGGCAGCAGGGGGUG
rnacentral:lncRNA from 13 species